UACGUAGGGGGCAAGCGUUGUCCGGAAUCAUUGGGCGUAAAGCGCGUGUAGGCGGCCCGGUAAGUCCGCUGUGAAAGUCCAGGGCUCAACCCUGGAAAGCCGGUGGAUACUGUCGGGCUAGAGUCCGGAAGAGGCGAGUGGAAUUCCUGGUGUAGCGGUGAAAUUCGUAGAUAUUCGGAGGAACACCAGAAGCGAAGGCGGCCAACUGGCCCGAUACUGACGCUGAGGCGCGAAAGCGUGGGGAGCAAACAGG
rnacentral:rRNA from 1 species